rnacentral:pre_miRNA from 1 species
UUGGUACUCCCUCCGUUCGGAAUUACUUGUCACAGAAAUGGAUGUAUCUAGAUGUAUUUUAGUUUUAGAUACAUCCAUUUUCGAGACAAGUAAUUCCGAACAGAGGGAGUAUUUA